rnacentral:rRNA from 1 species
GAGUUUGAUUCUGGCUCAGAAUCAACGCUGGCGGCGUGCCUAACACAUGCAAGUCGCACGAGAAAGGGGAGCAAUCCCUGAGUAAAGUGGCGCACGGGUGAGUAACACGUGACUUAUCUACCUCCGAGUGGGGAAUAACUGAGAGAAAUCUUAGCUAAUACCGCAUAACACUUACGAGUCAAAGCAGCAAUGCGCUUGGAGAGGAGUUCGCGGCAGAUUAGUUAGUUGGCGGGGUAAUGGCCCACCAAGACGAUGAUCUGUAUCCGGCCUGAGAGGGCGCACGGACACACUGGAACUGAAACACGGUCCAGACUCCUACGGGAGGCAGCAGUGGGGAAUUUUGCGCAAUGGGGGAAACCCUGACGCAGCAACGCCGCGUGGAGGAUGAAGUAUCUUGGUACGUAAACUCCUUUCGAUCGGGACGAUUAUGACGGUACCUGCAGAAGCAGCUGCGGCUAACUACGUGCCAGCAGCCGCGGUAAUACGUAGGCAGCAAGCGUUGUUCGGAGUUACUGGGCGUAAAGGGUGCGUAGGCGG